rnacentral:lncRNA from 1 species
CUUAUUCUCAUAACACACCAACCAGCACCAGUAGACAAAACUGCAAGGUAGAAAAGACACACCCACUCACCCAUCUCCAUCUACACACCCACUCCCCACCUCCGUCCUCCCGCGAUCCCAGCGGCGCCUCCCGCGAGCCACAUGGAUCUGGCGGCGCCUCCUCUUUUCUUCUCUGAUCAACCUCCUUAACCCAGUCGCCCAAUCCCAUUUUAUCGUACCCACCCACCCACCUUUUUAUCCCCCACCACCUACCUCCCGUGGGCUUCUUCUUGUGCCACUAUCCGGCCUGCGGCAUUCUCCACUCGUCGGCGAGCCAUCGCUCCACAAGCCACCAAACAGCCACGAGAUGUAGGCCUUGUCGACCCUGGUGCGCUGCCAUGCCGCCGGAUCCAGGCCUCCCACGGUGGAGGGAGGCCAGAUUGAGGCGAUGGGGAUUGGCUCCCCACGGCAGCCAUGGGUGCAGAUAGACCGACUCGGCGAUGGAUCCCCUGCCUUCUCAGUUAAUGUCCGCGACCGAUAACCUCCACGACAAGAGCCUCAACGGAUGGUAUGUGUGCUAAGUAGAUUUGAUUGGUUGGUCGACUGACUCAUGUGUUAUUCUUGUACCGCUUCGCCCUGUCCUCUCUCCGAUUGAUUGAUUAGUUGUGCUUAAUUUGCACUUGAUUUUGCAGUUGUUCUUGCUGCUAUGACUCCUGCUCCAGCAUCGUAGACUUCUUGUCAUGCGCUUGAUGCUGCUCCUCCUUCUGUCGUUCCCCGGCUUCUGGCGAAAGUGCACCGAGAUGCCUGAGUUAUUUCGGAGUACUAUAGUGUAUAGUCAUUGGGUGAUAAGUAUUUAUUAUUUUUUAUUGAGUUGAAUAUUUAUAGUAUGCAAGGAUAUUUAUGGAUCAACUGCUGUAGUGUGUUGACUUAUCUUCCGUUAAGGACGCCGUCAGCCAAAUCCGCCCAUCGUGCAUUCUACUCGUGAUUUUCAUGUGCAGUUCUCAUGCUCGAUAGAUGUUGCUCGGAUGCGCAUCGUGUGGAGCACGGUUGGCUGUGAGAUUCACUAGAACGUUCACAAUUGUGCUGUUAUGUGUUUGCUCACGUGUGUGGUUCGACAACAUCAACACUUGUUGGUUCUCCAGAGCUAUAGAGGUUGUGACUACUGUCUUUGCAGUUUGGCUAAGUGGCUAUAGAGCUUGUGAAUAUUGUUUUUGCAGUUCUCUAGAUGUGUGUGGCAGUGCACUGCAAAAGAAACUAACUUGAUUAUAAUUUAAUCUUUGUGUUGGAGGACAAUUGUUCUAACAAGAUGCAGGGUCUUGGUUGUAGUAAAUUGAAAAGGAAUGAUGCAGUUUGUUGGGCCAGCUCAUGCGAACAGUUUGCGAACACAUGGAUAUUUUUUUCAUGAAUGAUUCAUGUUGUUUUCCAUGAACAUGUAUAUGCUUUUAUUAAAGCAGUUCAUCCAAUAUUGUGUUGUGGUUCAUUUUUAUGGACCAUGCGGUUCUCUUUCUUUGCCCAUGUAAACAUUGUUGGAAAUAUGCCCUAUAGGCAAUAAUAAAUAGUUAUUUCUAUAUUUACUUGUUCAUGAUAAUCAUUUAUUAUCCAUGCUAUAAUUGUAUUGAUUGGAAAUUCAAAUACAUGUAUAGGUACAUAGACAACACACUGUCCCUAGUGAGCCUCUAAAGGACCAGCUUGUUGAUCAAAGAUGGUCAAGGUUUCCUCACCAUAGACAUGAGUUGUCAUUUGAUAAUGGAAUCACAUCAUUAGGAGAAUGAUGUGAUGGACAAGACCCAAACUACGAACGUAGCAUGUGAUCGUGUCAGUUUAUUGCUACUGUUUUCUGCAUGUCAAGUUUGUGUUUCUAUGACCAUGAGAUCAUGCAAC